AUUGAACGCUGGCGGCAGGCCUAACACAUGCAAGUCGAGCGGAUGAAGGGAGCUUGCUCCUGGAUUCAGCGGCGGACGGGUGAGUAAUGCCUAGGAAUCUGCCUGGUAGUGGGGGAUAACGUCCGGAAACGGGCGCUAAUAACGCAUACGUCCUGCGGGAGAAAGUGGGGGAGUUUCGAACCUCACGCUAUCAGAUGAGCAUAGGUCGGAUUAGCUAGUUGGUGGGGUAAAGGCCUACCAAGGCGACGAUCCGUAACUGGUCUGAGAGGAUGAGCAGUCACACUGGAACUGAGACACGGUCCAGACUCCUACGGGAGGCAGCAGUGGGGAAGAUUGGACGAUGGGCGAAAGCCUGAUCCAGCCAUGCCGCGUGUGUGAAGAAGGUCUUCGGAUUGUAAAGCACUUUAAGUUGGGAGGAAGGGCAGUAAGUUAAUACCUUGCUGUUUUGACGUUACCAACAGAAUAAGCACCGGCUAACUUCGUG
rnacentral:rRNA from 1 species